rnacentral:rRNA from 1 species
CGUACACUCCUGCGGGAGGCAGCAGUGGGGAAUAUUGGACAAUGGGCGCAAGCCUGAUCCAGCCAUGCCGCGUGAGUGAUGAAGGCCCUAGGGUUGUAAAGCUCUUUCACCGGUGAAGAUAAUGACGGUAACCGGAGAAGAAGCCCCGGCUAACUUCGUGCCAGCAGCCGCGGUAAUACGAAGGGGGCUAGCGUUGUUCGGAUUUACUGGGCGUAAAGCGCACGUAGGCGGACUAUUAAGUCAGGGGUGAAAUCCCGGGGCUCAACCCCGGAACUGCCUUUGAUACUGGUAGUCUUGAGUUCGAGAGAGGUGAGUGGAAUUCCGAGUGCAGAGGUGAAAUUCGUAGAUAUUCGGAGGAACACCAGUGGCGAAGGCGGCUCACUGGCUCGAUACUGACGCUGAGGUGCGAAAGCGUGGGGAGCAAACAGGAUUAGAAACCCCAGUAGUCCCAUG